rnacentral:lncRNA from 1 species
GCAAGCUCGUCGAACAUGCCCAAUAAUUGUGGCACCAGGUUGAAUGCAGCCAACAGUCACCGGCUUAGAACGUGCAGUCGAUGCACUUGGCUGGAGCUACUCUAAUAAUAGUACGAGAGGACCCAAACUUUCGUCGUGCUCGUUUCUAAGCAAAACUUUGAAAUCUUUUCUAAAUGAUAUUUCAAAUAAAACAAUCUAUAUGAAAACAACUUUCGGUCCAACUUGUAAA